GACGAACGCUGGCGGCGUGCUUAACACAUGCAAGUCGAACGGAAAGGCCCUGCUUGCAGGGUACUCGAGUGGCGAACGGGUGAGUAACACGUGGGUGAUCUGCCCUGCACUUCGGGAUAAGCCUUGGAAACUGGGUCUAAUACCGGAUAGGAGCCAUUUUUCGUGUGAUGGUUGGAAAGUUUUUUCGGUGUAGGAUGAGCUCGCGGCCUAUCAGCUUGUUGGUGGGGUAAUGGCCUACCAAGGCGGCGACGGGUAGCCGGCCUGAGAGGGUGGACGGCCAAAUUGGGACUGGGAUACGGCCCAGACUCCUACGGGGGGCAGCAGUGGGGAAUAUUGCACAAUGGGCGCAAGCCUGAUGCAGCGACGCCGCGUGGGGGAUGACGGCCUUCGGGUUGUAAACUCCUUUCGCUAGGGACGAAGCUUUUUGUGACGGUACCUAGAUAAGAAGCACCGGCUAACUACGUG
rnacentral:rRNA from 1 species